GACGAACGCUGGCGGCGCGCCUAACACAUGCAAGUCGAACGAGCGAGAGAGAGCUUGCUUUCUCGAGCGAGUGGCGAACGGGUGAGUAACGCGUGAGGAACCUGCCUCAAAGAGGGGGACAACAGUUGGAAACGACUGCUAAUACCGCAUAAGCCCACGGCUCGGCAUCGAGCAGAGGGAAAAGGAGUAAUCCGCUUUGAGAUGGCCUCGCGUCCGAUUAGCUAGUUGGUGAGGUAACGGCCCACCAAGGCGACGAUCGGUAGCCGGACUGAGAGGUUGAACGGCCACAUUGGGACUGAGACACGGCCCAGACUCCUACGGGAGGCAGCAGUGGGGAAUAUUGCACAAUGGGGGAAACCCUGAUGCAGCGACGCCGCGUGGAGGAAGAAGGUCUUCGGAUUGUAAACUCCUGUUGUUGGGGAAGAUAAUGACGGUACCCAACAAGGAAGUGAACGGCUAACUACGUG
rnacentral:rRNA from 1 species